GAUGAACGCUGGCGGCGUGCCUAAUACAUGCAAGUAGAACGCUGAAGGAGGAGCUUGCUCUUCUGGAUGAGUUGCGAACGGGUGAGUAACGCGUAGGUAACCUGCCUGGUAGCGGGGGAUAACUAUUGGAAACGAUAGCUAAUACCGCAUGACAACAGUUAUUGCAUGAUAACUGUUUAAAAGGGGCAACUGCUCCACUACCAGAUGGACCUGCGUUGGAUUAGCUAGUUGGUGAGGUAACGGCUCACCAAGGCGACGAUACAUAGCCGACCUGAGAGGGGGGUCGGCCACACUGGGACUGGGACACGGCCCAGACUCCUUCGGGAGGGAGCAGGAGGGGAUCUUCGGGAAGGGGCGGAAGUCUGACCGAGCAACGCCGAGUGAGGGUAGAAGGUUUUCGGAUCGUAAAGCUCUGUUGUAAGGGGAGAACGAGUGUUGGAGUGGAAAGUUCACGCUGUGACGGUAUCUUACCAGAAAGCGACGGCUAACUACGUG
rnacentral:rRNA from 1 species